GUUCGGGUUCGGGAUUGGGUUUAGGUUUUGGUUUUCAAGUUUAGGUUUAGUUUAGGGAGUUGAGAUUAUGAUUAGGUGUAGGUUUAGGUUUUAGGAUUUGAGAAUAGGUUAAGGUUUAGGUAUAGGUUUAAGAAAUCGGGUUCGGGUUUGGGAUCGGGUUUAG